rnacentral:hammerhead_ribozyme from 1 species
GCACUGCUGAAGAGUUCCACAAUCGGACGAAAUGACCAUCCAGUGC